rnacentral:rRNA from 1 species
GACGAACGCUGGCGGCGUGCUUAAUACAUGCAAGUCGAACGGAAAGGCCCUGCUUUUGUGGGGUGCUCGAGUGGCGAACGGGUGAGUAAAACGUGAGUAACCUGCCCUUGACUUUGGGAUAACUUCAGGGAACUGGGGCUAAUACCGGAUAGGAUCUCCUGCUGCAUGGUGGGGGUUGGAAAGUUUCGGCGGUUGUGGAUAGACUCGCGGCUUAUCAGCUGGUUGGUGGGGUAGUGGCUUACCAAGGCUUUGACGGGUAGCCGGCCUGAGAGGGUGGCCGGCGACAAUGGGCCUGCGAUACGGCCCAGACUGGUACCGGAGGCAGCAGGGGGGAAUAUUGCACAACGGGCCGGAGCCUGAGGCAACGACGCCGGGUGCGGGAUGACGGCUUUUGGGUGGAGAACCGCUUUCGCCGGUGACGAAGCGGGAGUGACGGUAACGGGUAAAGAAGCACCGGCUAACUACGUG